GGGUGGAGCCUGCGGUUUAAUUGGACUCAACGCCGGGCAGCUCACCGGAUAAGACAGCUGGAUGAUAGCCGGGCUGAAGACUCUGCUUGACUAGCUGAGAGGAGGUGCAUGGCCGUCGUCAGUUCGUACUGUGAAGCAUCCUGUUAAGUCAGGCAACGAGCGAGACCCACGCCAACAGUUGCCAGCAUGUCCUCCGGGAUGAUGGGGACACUGUUGGGACCGCCUCUGCUAAAGAGGAGGAAGGAAUGGGCAACGGUAGGUCAGCAUGCCCCGAAUUAUCCGGGCUACACGCGGGCUACAAUGGUCAGGACAAUGGGUAUCGACACCGAGAGGUGGAGGCAAUCUCCUAAACCUGUCCUUAGUUCGGAUUGUGGGCUGCAACUCGCCCACAUGAAGCUGGAAUCCGUAGUAAUCGCGUUUCAAAAUAGCGCGGUGAAUAUGUCCCUGCUCCUU
rnacentral:rRNA from 1 species